UAUAAGAAGUAGUAUGGUUGGAUUACUUCCUAUAUGUAGUUCAAGAUAAGUUCCAAUCAGUUGCUAUUACACAACAAUAUUGUACAAAUAAUACAAAUAUGCAGACUGAAUAUAGAGCCAUCCCUGUCACCUAUGACCCGUUUCUGGUAUGUAUGACCAGAAAAGUAAAGAAAACUGCAAAUGUUGGCAUAACAUUUCAGUGGCAGCUCACUGUAUUCUCACAACUUAGGAUGGAUAAAGAUGCUAUUGACCUGUUUAUGAAGUCAGGUAUGUAUGUUGUACUGGCAGAUAAUAAAACCACAAGACAAGAAGAAGAAUAUUAAGGCAAAAUCAUUAAAACAUUGAAGUGAAGGAUAAUGAAGCAUAAAUGCAAUAUGGCAUAGAAUAACCUUAACAUAGUCAUGGCCAAAAGCCACUACAUGGUUGACUUUGAUAUAAAAUGAAACAAUGCCAAGAUCAAUGAAAUCCACCUCUAAUUCCAAUGAAGCCUAUACAACAGAAGGUAUAUAUAUAUAUAGAAGAAAUAAAUAUAUAUAACAGAAAGUGUAUAUAUAUAUACAGGUAAGAAAAGAACAUAUAACCGUAAUGAAUGAAAUUACUCUGGAGAACUCCCUAUCUUGGAAAUAUUGUAUAAAAAUUGCCCUUUAAUAUGUUAAACGAUAUGAUGAGUUGUAUAUGAUUUUUACAUAAACUAUCCAUUUACAUAUGUGCAUAUGAACAUAUGACAUAAUAAGUAAUGUAUAUUUUUUAAUUUAAAUUAUGGAACAGUAUGACAUACUAGUGAUGUGUAUAAAUUAUUACAGUGUUUUGUAAAUUACAUUGAUAUUCUGAAAUUCUUAAUUUGAACUUUUAUAUAAACUAGUUAUGGGUUAUAAAAAUUGUGCUAUUGGUGCAGUGAUAUUAAAUGGUAGGUGG
rnacentral:lncRNA from 1 species